rnacentral:rRNA from 1 species
UUGGAGGGCAAGUCUGGUGCCAGCAGCCGCGGUAAUUCCAGCUCCAAUAGCGUAUAUUAAAGUUGUUGCAGUUAAAAAGCUCGUAGUUGAACUUCGGGAUCAAGGAAUCGGUCAUGCCUUGGUAUGUACUGGUUUUAUUGGUUCUCACCUUCUAAAGAACCAUAAUGUCAUUCAUUUGAUGUUAUGGGGAAUUAGGACUGUUACCUUGAAAAAAUUAGAGUGUUUAAAGCAAGCUUACGCUUGAAUACAUUAGCAUGGAAUAAUGAAAUAGGACAUCCGAUUCUAUUUUGUUGGUUUCUAGGAUCGAUGUAAUGAUUAAUAGGGAUAGUUGGGGGCAUUAGUAUUCAAUUGUCAGAGGUGAAAUUCUUGGAUUUAUUGAAGACUAACUACUGCGAAAGCAUUUGCCAAGGAUGUUUUCAUUAAUCAAGAACGAAAGUUAGGGGAUCGAAGACGAUCAGAUACCGUCGUAGUCUUAACCAUAAACUAUGCCGACUAGGGAUCGGAUGAUGUUAAUUUUAUAAUGACUCAUUCGGCACCUUACGGGAAACCAAAGUGUUUGGGUUC